rnacentral:rRNA from 1 species
GCCUAUACAUGCAGUCGAGCGGACAGAAGGGAGCUUGCUCCCGGAUGUUAGCGGCGGACGGGUGAGUAACACGUGGGUAACCUGCCUGUAAGACUGGGAUAACUCCGGGAAACCGGAGCUAAUACCGGAUAGUUCCUUGAACCGCAUGGUUCAAGGAUGAAAGACGGUUUCGGCUGUCACUUACAGAUGGACCCGCGGCGCAUUAGCUAGUUGGUGGGGUAAUGGCUCACCAAGGCGACGAUGCGUAGCCGACCUGAGAGGGUGAUCGGCCACACUGGGACUGAGACACGGCCCAGACUCCUACGGGAGGCAGCAGUAGGGAAUCUUCCGCAAUGGACGAAAGUCUGACGGAGCAACGCCGCGUGAGUGAUGAAGGUUUUCGGAUCGUAAAGCUCUGUUGUUAGGGAAGAACAAGUGCGAGAGUAACUGCUCGCACCUUGACGGUACCUAACCAGAAAGCCACGGCUAACUACGUGCCAGCAGCCGCGGUAAUACGUAGGUGGCAAGCGUUGUCCGGAAUUAUUGGGCGUAAAGGGCUCGCAGGCGGUUUCUUAAGUCUGAUGUGAAAGCCCCCGGCUCAACCGGGGAGGGUCAUUGGAAACUGGGAAACUUGAGUGCAGAAGAGGAGAGUGGAAUUCCACGUGUAGCGGUGAAAUGCGUAGAGAUGUGGAGGAACACCAGUGGCGAAGGCGACUCUCUGGUCUGUAACUGACGCUGAGGAGCGAAAGCGUGGGGAGCGAACAGGAUUAGAUACCCUGGUAGUCCACGCCGUAAACGAUGAGUGCUAAGUGUUAGGGGGUUUCCGCCCCUUAGUGCUGCAGCUAACGCAUUAAGCACUCCGCCUGGGGAGUACGGUCGCAAGACUGAAACUCAAAGGAAUUGACGGGGGCCCGCACAAGCGGUGGAGCAUGUGGUUUAAUUCGAAGCAACGCGAAGAACCUUACCAGGUCUUGACAUCCUCUGACAACCCUAGAGAUAGGGCUUUCCCUUCGGGGACAGAGUGACAGGUGGUGCAUGGUUGUCGUCAGCUC